UUGUUCCUGACUAUAAAUUACAGAAGAAUGAAUUUAAGUGUAAGCUGCUUUAUGUCUGCGGUGAGCCUACUCUCCUGGUGUCUGUACCAGUAGAAUCUGAGGAGCCAACUGAAAAUGCUGAAGAAGCUUCAGGGGAAAAGGAAGAAGAUGAAACUGAAGAACUGGNNNNNNNNNNGAAUCUGGAUUCUGAAGAGGGCUCCCUGUUUUAGGAUUGCAGUUGCAAAGCCCAGAAGACAGAAGUGGACAGAGGAAGAAGAAAUGGUUUCCAGUAGUUUUCUCAGUUUUUGUAGUCUAGAAAAUAGGUUUUUGUUCUACAUUUCAUUAUACAAAGAUGUCACCAACAGACAUCUGAUUACAUAAGGUUCUUUAUAG
rnacentral:lncRNA from 1 species